rnacentral:pre_miRNA from 1 species
CGGCACAAUGUUUAUGAGUAGAUAAAUCACAUCUUGAUCUACACAUAUCCAUUGUACCUCC